AUUGAACGCUGGCGGCAUGCUUUACACAUGCAAGUCGAGCGGCAGCGCGGGGGCAACCCUGGCGGCGAGCGUCGCACGGGUGAGUGUUGCAUCGGAACGUCUCCCCGUGUGCGGGAUAACCCAGCGAAAGUAGGGCUACUACCGCCUGAUCUCUGCGGCGGCAAGCGGGUGACCUGUGAGGGCCUUGCGCUGGUGGGGCUGCCGUUGCGCGAUUAGCUAGUUGGGGGGGUAAAGGCUUAUCCCGGCGACGAUCGGUAGCUGGUCUGAGAGGAUGAUCAGCCACACUGGGACUGGGACACGGCCCAGACGACUGCGGGAGGCAGCAGAGGGGAAUUGUGGACAGUGGGGGCAAACCUGAUCCAGCGAUGCCAAGUGAGAUAAGGAGGCCUUCGGGUUGGAAAGCUCUUUCGGACGGAACAAAAUGGGCGGGACUAAUACUCCUGUCUGAUGACGGUACCGUAAGAAGAAGCACCGGCUAACUACGUG
rnacentral:rRNA from 1 species